rnacentral:rRNA from 1 species
GUUGGGUUUUAGUGGAAACUUGGGAAUGGGAUGAGAGUUAAAUUUUUGGAAGAUCAUUGGUUUGGUAAUUGUAGCUUAGCCUCCCAAUUCUGGGAUCUGUAUAUCUUUGCUAAUGAACAUAAUGUUGCUAUUGUUGACGUUUGGGAUGGUUGUAACCUGAAGAUUACUUUCAGGAGAUGUGUAGAUAAUAGGCUUAUGUUGCUUUGGUUUGAUCUAGUUAGUAUCGCUCAAUCCAUUUCAUUUGAGAAUGAGGAUGAUGCAAUUACUUGGAAGGUGACGGUGGCUUGCUCUCAAUAG